UGUUCCCUCCCUAAAUGUGAUCGGACAGGUAGAUUCAAACGUAAUCGGACGGCUCAAUUGGAUCGCGAUGGAUGAUUCAGAUUGAACCGCGAUGAAUAGCCUAGAUUUACUCCCUAUUUAAUUGCGAUCGUACUGUCCAGAUCAAACGCGAUGAAUGACUCAGAUUAAGUGCCAACGGAUAAAAAUAACCCCCAUUCGUAUUAAACCCUAACCUUAGCCGCCAGACCCCAU
rnacentral:lncRNA from 1 species